rfam:Lepisosteus oculatus linkage group LG4, whole genome shotgun sequence.
ACCAGCAGCCAUAUCGCCCUGCAGCUCACAGCUGGAGCUCAGCAGGUGUGAGCCUGGUCAGUACCUGGAUGGGAGACUCCUGGGAAAGCUAAGGUUGCUGCUGGAA